UUCGGUACGCUAAUUGCAUAGUAAUCAAGGUGAAUCAUGUGGAACGUCAUAAGGUUUCAUUUAUUUUGGGACAUUUUGAUAUUUUAUUUUUGGGAAAAGUUUAUAUAGAGCCGAAGCUCUAAACAAUUAAAUUAGAGCCUACCUCAAAAGUUUCACUAAAAGAGGCUGUUUUGAUGCUCAAAUUUCCUCAAAUUGAUCAUCUCGACAUCAAGAUGCAUGGACAUGAGAAAAAAAAUGAAAUUCAAGUUUUGGAAAUAAUGUAUUUUGUAACGCAUUUUUAGACUAUCAAUUUUCAAGAUUUUCAAGCUUUCAUAGAUUU
rnacentral:lncRNA from 1 species